AUCUAUGGCCAUACCACCCUGAACAUGCCUGAUCUUGUCUGAUCUCAGAAGCUAAGCAGGGUUGGGCCUUGUUAGUACUUUGGAGACCACCUGGGAAUACCGGGUGCUGUAGCUU
rnacentral:rRNA from 1 species